AUGAUAUUUCCACUGUGACAUUUCCAUGGCAACACAAUGAGCUCCAGGCCCUCUCUAUUCAAAGGUAAGAUAACAAUCAGAGGUUUUCUCC